GACGAACGCUGGCGGCGUGCUUAACACAUGCAAGUCGAACGAUGAAGCAAAGAAUCGAAGCUUCGGCAGAAAUUCAUUUCGGAUUAGUGGCAGACGGGUGAGUAACGCGUGAGCAACCUACCUCUUACAAAGGGAUAGCCUCGGGAAACCGGGAUUAAUACCAUAUAACAUUGUGACGAAGCAUUUCGAUGCAAUCAAAGCUACGGCGGUAAGAGAUGGGCUCGCGUCCCAUUAACCGGAUGGUGAGGUAACGGCUCACCAUAGUGACGAUGGGUAACCGGCCUGAGAGGGUGAACGGUCACACUGGAACUUAGACACGGUCCAGACUCCUACGGGAGGCAGCAGUGGGGAAUAUUGCACAAUGGAGGGAACUCUGAUGCAGCGACGCCGCGUGAGUGAUGAAGGAAUUCGUUUCGUAAAACUCUGUUCUAUGGGAAGAAAAGGACUGUACCAUAGGAGAAAGCUCCGGCUAAAUACGUG
rnacentral:rRNA from 1 species